rnacentral:piRNA from 1 species
AGGCAAGUACUGUAUGAAUCUAACU